rnacentral:tRNA from 1 species
CUGCCGAUUGUAGUGGCCAAGCAUAGCGGGCUUUGGCCCCGCUGACGGGAGUUCGAAUCUCCCCCGGGCUACCA